GAUGAAGAACGCAGCGAAAUGCGAUAAGUAGUGUGAAUUGCAGAAUUCAGUGAAUCAUCGAAUCUUUGAACGCACAUUGCGCCCCUUGGUAUUCCGGGGGGCAUGCCUGUCCGAGCGUCAUUGCUGCCCUCAAGCACGGCUUGUGUGUUGGGCCCCGUCCUCCGAUCCCGGGGGACGGGCCCGAAAGGCAGCGGCGGCACCGCGUCCGGUCCUCGAGCGUAUGGGGCUUUGUCACCCGCUCUGUAGGCCCGGCCGGCGCUUGCCGAUCAACCCAAAUUUUUUAUCCAGGUUGACCUCGGAUCAGGUAGGGAUACCCGCUGAACUUAAGCAUAUCAAUAAGCGGAGGA
rnacentral:misc_RNA from 1 species